rnacentral:rRNA from 1 species
AUGGAGACGUUCGUGCUGUCGCCGGAGAGCCCCCUCUUGGGGCUGAGGUCCCCGGUGAUGAACUCAGCUGCCCACGCGGUCGUUCGGUUAUACGGUUUCCUUCUCAUAGUGCCGCCUGAACCGGGGACAGCGGACAACGAGCUCGACAUGAGCUGCCCCGGCGACGACGUGCUGGUAGAGAUGGAGUAUGUCCCCGAGGGCUGGUUUCUUGGAGGACCGGCGCCGUUGUUCGCCGCCGCGGGGUGCACGGCCGGCUGCAUGCGGGUCGCCGCCGUGGAGGACCAAGAAGAAGAAGCAGACAGCAAGGAGAUCCUGGUGCUCUACCGCUACGCCCCUUUCUCGGUAUCAUCGGACGGCGUGGUGGCGCGAGGGAGCAGCAGGGCGCACCUGCUCCGGUUCAUCGCCACCGGCGACCACACGGCGAGGUCGCUGGCGUGGGCCGGAUCGUCUCUGGUCCGGCUGAUAUACCCCGGUGACUUCAGCGAGCAGCUCCAGGAGCUAUGGUCGAGCCUAGCGUCGCAGGUGAGCGUUCUGCCGCGCGCCGCGCGCGUCGAGGUGUUCGUCGACGUCGGUAUCCUCCUCCGGAGGUCGGACUACACUCCCGAGCGCGUGGAGCAGAUGCGCCCCUCGCCGGAGCGCAUGGCGGAGCAGACGUGGCCCGUGCGCUUCACCGGCAUGGAGCUGCACCUGCCGGAGCCGAUGCGGCGCGACCAUGAUAAAGACGAAACCGCCGUCGACGACGACGAUGACACGGACGCCGGUGAACGGCCAGCGAAGCAAAGGAGGGUAGUCGCCGCCGGGGAGGAUUGCCCCGUUUGCUUGCAGCUGCUCGAGGGGAACGACCUCGCCGCGUGGUCCGGGUGCGACAAGCCCCAUGUCUUCCAUGGCUCGUGCUUGGAGCGCGUCCUUGUGGAGAGCAAGACGUGCCCUAUGUGCAGGCACAAGCUAUACAUCGAACACAAACGAUGA